rnacentral:rRNA from 1 species
UACGUAGGGUCCGAGCGUUUGUCCGGAAUUAUUGGGCGUAAAGAGCUCGUAGGCGGUUUGUCGCGUCUGCUGUGAAAUCCCGAGGCUCAACCUCGGGUCUGCAGUGGGUACGGGCAGACUGGAGUGCGGUAGGGGAGAAUGGAAUUCCUGGUGUAGCGGUGAAUGCGCAGAUAUCAGGAGGAACACCGGUGCGAAGGCGGUCUCUGGGCCUUACCUGACACUGAGGAGCGAAAGCGUGGGGAGCGAACAGGAUUAGAACGUACCCGAGUC